rnacentral:rRNA from 1 species
AGCACCGGCUAACUCCGUGCCAGCAGCCGCGGUAAUACGGAGGGUGCGAGCGUUAAUCGGAAUUACUGGGCGUAAAGCGCAUGCAGGUGGUUUGUUAAGUCAGAUGUGAAAGCCCGGGGCUCAACCUCGGAAUUGCAUUUGAAACUGGCAGACUAGAGUACUGUAGAGGGGGGUAGAAUUUCAGGUGUAGCGGUGAAAUGCGUAGAGAUCUGAAGGAAUACCGGUGGCGAAGGCGGCCCCCUGGACAGAUACUGACACUCAGAUGCGAAAGCGUGGGGAGCAAACAGGAUUAGAUACCCUGGUAGUCCACGCCGUAAACGAUGUCUACUUGGAGGUUGUGGCCUUGAGCCGUGGCUUUCGGAGCUAACGCGUUAAGUAGACCGCCUGGGGAGUACGGUCGCAAGAUUAAAACUCAAAUGAAUUGACGGGGGCCCGCACAAGCGGUGGAGCAUGUGGUUUAAUUCGAUGCAACGCGAAGAACCUUACCUAC